rfam:Glycine soja cultivar W05 scaffold355_26, whole genome shotgun sequence.
ACUGAAACUCAGCUGCUGACUCGUUGGCUCGAGAGUUCACCAUUAAGAUAGAUUGAUGUUCGGCACUCACGCCAUGUAAUUAAGGUGGUGUGCUUCUGAUCCAACGAUGCGGGAGCUGCAUUCAGUCG